GAGCUCGUAGGCGGUUUGUCGCGUCUGCUGUGAAAACUGGGGGCUCAACCCCCAGCCUGCAGUGGGUACGGGCAGACUAGAGUGCGGUAGGGGAGAUUGGAAUUCCUGGUGUAGCGGUGGAAUGCGCAGAUAUCAGGAGGAACACCGAUGGCGAAGGCAGAUCUCUGGGCCGUAACUGACGCUGAGGAGCGAAAGGGUGGGGAGCAAACAGGCUUAGAUACCCUGGUAGUCCACCCCGUAAACGUUGGGAACUAGUUGUGGGGACCAUUCCACGGUCUCCGUGACGCAGCUAACGCAUUAAGU
rnacentral:rRNA from 1 species